rnacentral:lncRNA from 1 species
UAUUCUAAUUGCUUCUUAAUGCUGGUGACGAGAGUCAGGGGAUUAUAGUCCAACUCCUGAAGCCAGUGUGACUACAUAUAAAUGUGUUGGACACUUGAUAAAUAGACAGGAACUGUUUAUACUUAAGAUGUGUCAACCUAGUUCCCUAGCAUGGUAGUGGGACCUGAAAUCAGAUCUGGUGCAGUCUGAAAAACAGAAAGAAGAAAUCAUUCAAUCACUCUUGCUCCUACAAUACCUACUUAUACUGUUUUUCUGCCUAAUUAUCUCUGAGUCUAUGUCACUGUUACCUGAAGUCAGGUACUCAUGCUGUGACAAUGUUUCAACUCACAAGGAAGCCAUUUAGUUCAUUAGUAUGGCAGAAGUGCAGUGAAUGGAUUCCACAGAGGCUUGAAGGAGUCUGAGGUGGGGCACAUUCCCACCUGCAGGGUGUUCAUACAGAGGACACAGAGCACAUGUUCAGACGACUCUGGGGGUGUGUGUGACCAAACAUUCUAGGAUUGGUCAAAUUGACCUUUCCAGGUCAUGUGUAACCUGGUCAGUAGGCCUCAGACUCAGAAGUGUGGGCUUCUCACUUCUCCCUACCUUUCCUGUGACUAUUGGGGUCAUCUGGGUAGAGGACUAUUAGGAAAACAGCACUAGAGAGUUUAACUAGUUAAAUUGCUUAAACAGGUGUUAGAAAAUGGAGAACUCACAAAGGAGGCUCUGCAAUAAUUUAGAGAGAGUAGCUGCAGGAAGUAGUUUCCAUUCCUAGGUAGAGGACCAAGGGAAGGGUUGGGGUGAUUAGAUCCUAGAAGCUCAGAGGAGAAACUCCUUGUAGGGGAUGCUGGAGGGUGCCAACCAGGUCUUCCUUCAAAAGGAAGGGAAUAGGC